rnacentral:rRNA from 1 species
AGCGAACGCUGGCGGCAGGCCUAACACAUGCAAGUCGAACGAAGUCUUCGGACUUAGUGGCGCACGGGAGAGUAACACGUGGGAAUAUACCUUUCGGUGGGGAAUAACAUCGGGAAACUGAUGCUAAUACCGCAUACGCCCUUCGGGGGAAAGAUUUAUCGCCGAAAGAUUAGCCCGCGUCCGAUUAGGUAGUUGGUGAGGUAACGGCUCACCAAGCCUGCGAUCGGUAGCUGGUCUGAGAGGAUGAUCAGCCACACUGGGACUGAGACACGGCCCAGACUCCUACGGGAGGCAGCAGUGGGGAAUAUUGGACAAUGGGCGCAAGCCUGAUCCAGCCAUGCCGCGUGAGUGAUGAAGGCCUUAGGGUUGUAAAGCUCUUUCGACGGGGACGAUGAUGACGGUACCCGUAGAAGAAGCCCCGGCUAACUUCGUGCCAGCCGCCGCAGUAAUAC